rnacentral:rRNA from 1 species
GAUGAACGCUGGCGGCGUGCCUAAUACAUGCAAGUCGAGCGAACAGAUGAGGAGCUUGCUCCUCUGACGUUAGCGGCGGACGGGUGAGUAACACGUGGAUAACCUACCUAUAAGACUGGGAUAACUUCGGGAAACCGGAGCUAAUACCGGAUAAUAUAUUGAACCGCAUGGUUCAAUAGUGAAAGACGGUUUUGCUGUCACUUAUAGAUUGAUCCGCGCCGCAUUAGCUAGUUGGUAAGGUAACGGCUUACCAAGGCAACGAUGCGUAGCCGACCUGAGAGGGUGAUCGGCCACACUGGAACUGAGACACGGUCCAGACUCCUACGGGAGGCAGCAGUAGGGAAUCUUCCGCAAUGGGCGAAAGCCUGACGGAGCAACGCCGCGUGAGUGAUGAAGGUCUUCGGAUCGUAAAACUCUGUUGUUAGGGAAGAACAAAUGUGUAAGUAACUAUGCACGUCUUGACGGUACCUAAUCAGAAAGCCACGGCUAACUACGUG